ACUCCUGCGGGAGGCAGCAGUGGGGAAUAUUGCACAAUGGGCGGAAGCCUGAUGCAGCAACGCCGCGUGCGGGAUGACGGCCUUCGGGUUGUAAACCGCUUUCGCCUGUGACGAAGCGUGAGUGACGGUAAUGGGUAAAGAAGCACCGGCUAACUACGUGCCAGCAGCCGCGGUGAUACGUAGGGUGCGAGCGUUGUCCGGAUUUAUUGGGCGUAAAGGGCUCGUAGGUGGUUGAUCGCGUCGGAAGUGUAAUCUUGGGGCUUAACCCUGAGCGUGCUUUCGAUACGGGUUGACUUGAGGAAGGUAGGGGAGAAUGGAAUUCCUGGUGGAGCGGUGGAAUGCGCAGAUAUCAGGAGGAACACCAGUGGCGAAGGCGGUUCUCUGGGCCUUUCCUGACGCUGAGGAGCGAAAGCGUGGGGAGCGAACAGGCUUAGAUACCCCAGUAGUCCCAUGAU
rnacentral:rRNA from 1 species